rnacentral:rRNA from 1 species
UAGGAUGAGACUAUAUUGUAUCAGCUAGUUGGUAAGGUAAUGGCUUACCAAGGCUAUGACGCAUAACUGGUCUGAGAGGAUGAUCAGUCACACUGGAACUGAGACACGGUCCAGACUCCUACGGGAGGCAGCAGUAGGGAAUAUUGCUCAAUGGGGGAAACCCUGAAGCAGCAACGCCGCGUGGAGGAUGACACUUUUCGGAGCGUAAACUCCUUUUCUUAGGGAAGAACAAUGACGGUACCUAAGGAAUAAGCACCGGCUAACUCCGUGCCAGCAGCCGCGGUAAUACGGAGGGUGCAAGCGUUACUCGGAAUCACUGGGCGUAAAGGACGCGUAGGCGGAUUAUCAAGUCUUUUGUGAAAUCUAAUGGCUUAACCAUUAAACUGCUUGAGAAACUGAUAAUCUAGAGUGAGGGAGAGGCAGAUGGAACUGGUGGUGUAGGGGUAAAAUCCGUAGAGAUCACCAAGAAUACCCAUUGCGAAGGCGAUCUGCUAGAACUCAACUGACGCUAAUGCGUGAAAGCGUGGGGAGCAAACAGGAUUAGAUACCCUGGUAGUCCACGCCCUAAACGAUGUAUACUCGUUGUUGCUCUGCUAGUCAGGGCAGUAAUGCACCUAACGGAUUAAGUAUACCGCCUGGGGAGUACGGUCGCAAGAUUAAAACUCAAAGGAAUAGACGGGGACCCGCACAAGCGGUGGAGCAUGUGGUUUAAUUCGAUGAUACGCGAAGAACCUUACCUGGGCUUGAUAUCCUAAGAACCUCUUAGAGAUAAGAGGGUGCUAGCUUGCUAGAACUUAGAGACAGGUGCUGCACGGCUGUCGUCAGCUCGUGUCGUGAGAUGUUCGGUUAAGUCCGGCAACGAGCGCAACCCACGUAUUUAGUUGCUAACAGUUUGGCUGAGCACUCUAAAUAUACUGCCUUCGUAAGGAGGAGGAAGGUGUGGACGACGUCAAGUCAUCAUGGCCCUUAUGCCCAGGGCGACACACGUGCUACAAUGGCAUAUACAAUGAGACGCAAUACCGCGAGGUGGAGCAAAUCUAUAAAAUAUGUCCCAGUUCGGAUUGUUCUCUGCAACUCGAGAGCAUGAAGCCGGAAUCGCUAGUAAUCGUAGAUCAGCCAUGCUACGGUGAAUACGUUCCCGGGUCUUGUACUCACCGCCCGUCACACCAUGGGAGUUGAUUUCACUCGAAGCCCAAAUACCAAACUGGUUAUGGUCCACAGUGGAAUCAGCGACUGGGGUGAAGUCGUAACAAGGUAACCGUAGGAGAACCUGCGGUUGGAUCACCUCCUUUCUA